rnacentral:lncRNA from 1 species
AGCAUUCCAGGUACAAUAAUAUUCAUCAAAUACAUGUGUAUAAGAUUACAUCAUUGAUGAAUACAAUUUUCUGGCAUAGCCCUAAGGCUAUUUACAUGGCAACGGAAGUCCAUAUAAAUGGCGGCGGAAAUCUUGGUUUGGCAGCGUCUCACUAAGGCUGGGCUCCAUAACGCACAGGACUGGCAAGAUUACGACCUAGCACGACGGAACAAGCGAACGACCUACAAAACCGGCAUGACACGCCAGGUCAGUACAUUGAAUGUACUUGCAAGACAACCAAAUACAUAGCAUCCAAACAAACAGAAGACAAAGCAAGAACCAAGCAUAUGCAACAGUCUACAUCAACACAACUUCUAAGUAUGGCAUGAUAUUAACUAGAAUCAUAAUUCAAACUAGGCAUGAAUAACAUCAUAGCAUCAACUAUCAUGGCAUAUCAAACUUACUUCUAUCAUAACAACAACAAAGCAUAGCAUAUCAAAACAGGGCAUGGCAUCAUGAAACUAUGCUGAAAAUAAACUACCAGUUACCUCCCGUGAAGACAUGUUGUAAUAACCUUAUGCCACAAUCACUUACUCUGCCACGGCUCCUCGGAGCACAAUCAUAACUUACCGAGACCUCGUCUCGCGGUCAUAUCAACACAUCAUCGUGACUUCUCAUGAUUAUUUCAUAGUCCAAGCCAUCACAUUAGUUAUCACAUCUUAGUUAUCACAUAAUUUAUUAGCUGAUUUAUCUUCCAUUUCGACCGAGACCCGAUAGUGGGACCUACUACGAACCUGUGCCCAUGACCGAGGACGCGGCUAUCGAUAGAUUGAAUACACUCUGCAGAGGUAGCGCACUUUACCCACACUACGGAACCCUGGUCUCGCACUCCCAUACGUGCGGACCAAAGAGUUCCGACAAAACCGAUCUACUGCCAUGACGCCCUCCCGGCCACUCCGAUCAACACCCCUUAAGGGUUCAGUCCUGGGUGGCCCUGUACCUACCAAAGGUACCAACGGCCACCGUCAUGGCAAAACGGUCCCAAACGGGGACAUGAGCUCAAAACCAAACCCGGGCACACAAGGCUUAUGUCUGCCUAUCUGAUCAGGGUAAGCGCGCCCAUAACCUUCCCUUGCGGGAGGCACCGGCGAGAGGCAUGACAAUAGACCCAGCUAGGACCUUCCCAUAAGGUAAAUGUGGUUGCACUGGAGAAAGCUCGAUUUGGUGGCACUAUGAUAUCCCAGUGAUGGCGGAGGAGGUUUGUUAUUAAGUCAUGUUAUUAAUUUCUCCACCAUCAUCAACAUUAUGAGCAUAUUAAACAAGAAUGCAACAAUGAACAUGCAACUAACAAAUGCAUUAACAAAUAUCAAGCUACUCUAGUGAACAGUUAUAGCAUAUGAAACAUAACAAUACUAGACACUAGCUUAUUGACGGUGCAACAAAAUCAUCAUAACAUCAAGACUACUGGCAUGAAAUAAACUAGACAGAGGCAUGAUAUUAUCAACAACAACAUAACUAGCAUGGCAAAAGCUAUCAUGAGAGGUAAGCAAGCAGUACUAACAUAUAUCACAACUGAAAUAACGGCAGACGAAACAGACAGAAACUACUGCAACUAAGCACACACACACGAGGUACCAGCAAAGUCAACACGCAAGUUCAGGGCUCAUGAUAAGAGGUUGGCUUGCCUGGGGUCGAGGAUUACUCCGAAAAAAGUGCGGAACGAUCGCGAAAAGAUUUGCCGGAAACAGUUCUCUCUCGGAGGGGGCUGUUUACGGGCAAGGGCAAAGUGGUCAUUUUCACUGUGUGAAAACAUAAUGAAAAUGAUACCAACGGAAAUAGUUCAGCGAGACGAAGACGUGAGCGUUGGUUUCACCUCAAUCGGAGUUACGGUUGUCGAGAUACGCAGGGUUGACGUUCAGGGACCUAUCGGUGAAAGUUUUUCAGCAAACAGGCCCCUGGAGGAAAAACUAAACGUGCCUUUGGGCUGAAUACGUUUUCCGCACAGGGAAACGCAUUAUGGGCCGAACUGCCCAGGCAAUACGUUUUCUGACAUGGAAAGCGUAUUCACCAGGAAUACGUUUCCAGAGCAGGGCCAGCGGAGCCACGUCCUCCUCUCGCCGACUGGUGGGUCUCGUAGGGUGGGGCCCGCCUGUCCUGGCUUCUUCUUCCUCCCGCACGUACGCGCGCCUGGCCGAGGGAGAUGCCCGCCUCGACGGCGAUUGCCGGCGGCUCCGGCCGCCUCAGACGACGGCCGAC